CAGACAACUCCGCAGCACCUUGGGCUGCCCUGGUGUCUCUACUGGAACUCCGCCUCUAUGGAGUUGAAUUUCCCCUGAAGAGAUCACGGGCCCAGCUUCUCCAGCAUCAUGAUCCUGGAUGACCCUUGCUUCUACGGGCAGAGCCGUGAGUGGAGGUGACGUCUUGAAUAUGUCGUCACAACGUGGUCGGCCCGAGGACAAAGCUGGCGUCUAGGAUGGCAGAGAUGGAAGAGGGCAAGUAGACGGCACUUACAUAAAGUAACCAGCCCAGGUGCCCGUUUAUUAACGGGGUAAUGAAUUCCAGCGCCCGCGAAGGCAAGUCAGACACCACUGUAAAACCAAGGUGGUCUGAGUGAACAGAGGAUCAACCCAACAGAGGCUUCAACAUCUGGCGGGGCUCCUGAUGGCCACGUGAAGCUUUUCUUCUGCAGCAGGCCGCCUGGGAGCUGAGAGUGGGUGACCCUGGAGGACAAUCAGCAAGGAGAAUGGGACCUCAGUCCUACAACCACACAGAACUGAAUUCCAACCACCUGAACGAGCUUGGAGGCAAGUGAUUCUCCAGGGCCUCAAGCUAGAUUUGCAAGAGGAUGACUUCAUUGAACUCCUCGCUGUGCAACACGAGAAGCUUACUGAUGAAGACCUGAUGGAAUUGGAGGCCCAGAGAAAGGAUGAAGAGGGACAAGAGGAAGAAAAAGUAACUGAAGAACCGAAGAGAUUCACGACGCAGGAAGUGGCAGGGGAUUUUCUUUAUUUGAGGAGGCACUGUUAGAUUUUGAGGCACAGGACCCGAACGUAGAACGGUACAUGAAGGUUGCAGCUGCCGUUCAGAAUGCAAUCCAGUGCUGCCGUGUCAUCUACGAUGAGAAAAAAAGAGCUACUACCCAGACAUCACUGGAUCGUUUUUUCAAGAGGGUGGAUAGACUUGAAUCCAGCAAGGAACCAGCACCUGAGCCAUCAGCGUCAGGCGUGAGUGCAAUUGCAGCUCGC